rnacentral:rRNA from 1 species
GACGAACGCUGGCGGCGUGCUUAACACAUGCAAGUCGAACGGAAAGGCCCUGCUUUUGUGGGGUGCUCGAGUGGCGAACGGGUGAGUAACACGUGAGUAACCUGCCCUUGACUUUGGGAUAACUUCAGGAAACUGGGGCUAAUACCGGAUAGGAGCUCCUGCUGCAUGGUGGGGGUUGGAAAGUUUCGGCGGUUGGGGAUGGACUCGCGGCUUAUCAGCUUGUUGGUGGGGUAGUGGCUUACCAAGGCUUUGACGGGUAGCCGGCCUGAGAGGGUGACCGGCCACAUUGGGACUGAGAUACGGCCCAGACUCCUACGGGAGGCAGCAGUGGGGAAUAUUGCACAAUGGGCGGAAGCCUGAUGCAGCAACGCCGCGUGCGGGAUGACGGCCUUCGGGUUGUAAACCGCUUUCGCCUGUGACGAAGCGUGAGUGACGGUAAUGGGUAAAGAAGCACCGGCUAACUACGUGCCAGCAGCCGCGGUGAUACGUAGGGUGCGAGCGUUGUCCGGAUUUAUUGGGCGUAAAGGGCUCGUAGGUGGUUGAUCGCGUCGGAAGUGUAAUCUUGGGGCUUAACCCUGAGCGUGCUUUCGAUACGGGUUGACUUGAGGAAGGUAGGGGAGAAUGGAAUUCCUGGUGGAGCGGUGGAAUGCGCAGAUAUCAGGAGGAACACCAGUGGCGAAGGCGGUUCUCUGGGCCUUUCCUGACGCUGAGGAGCGAAAGCGUGGGGAGCGAACAGGCUUAGAUACCCUGGUAGUCCACGCUGUAAACGGUGGGUACUAGGUGUGGGGUCCAUUCCACGGGUUCCGUGCCGUAGCUAACGCUUUAAGUACCCCGCCUGGGGAGUACGGCCGCAAGGCUAAAACUCAAAGGAAUUGACGGGGCCCCGCACAAGCGGCGGAGCAUGCGGAUUAAUUCGAUGCAACGCGUAGAACCUUACCUGGGUUUGACAUGGAUCGGGAGCGCUCAGAGAUGGGUGUGCCUCUUUUGGGGUCGGUUCACAGGUGGUGCAUGGCUGUCGUCAGCUCGUGUCGUGAGAUGUUGGGUUAAGUCCCGCAACGAGCGCAACCCUUGUUCACUGUUGCCAGCACGUUAUGGUGGGGACUCAGUGGAGACCGCCGGGGUCAACUCGGAGGAAGGUGGGGAUGACGUCAAGUCAUCAUGCCCCUUAUGUCCAGGGCUUCACGCAUGCUACAAUGGCUGGUACAGAGAGUGGCGAGCCUGUGAGGGUGAGCGAAUCUCGGAAAGCCGGUCUCAGUUCGGAUUGGGGUCUGCAACUCGACCUCAUGAAGUCGGAGUCGCCAGUAAUCGCAGAUCAGCAACGCUGCGGUGAAUACGUUCCCGGG